UGGGAACAAUCCCAUUUCCUGAGGGAAUGGGAGGAUCUGUCUACUUUUCUUAUCCUGAUUCAAAUGGAAUGCCAGUGUGGCAACUCCUAGGAUUUGUCACGAAUGGGAAGCCAAGUGCCAUCUUCAAAAUUUCAGGUCUUAAAUCUGGAGAAGGAAGCCAACAUCCUUUUGGAGCCAUGAAUAUUGUCCGAACUCCAUCUGUUGCUCAGAUUGGAAUUUCAGUGGAAUUAUUGGACAGUAUGGCUCAGCAGACUCCCGUAGGUAAUGCUGCUGUAUCCUCAGUUGACUCAUUCACUCAGGCCCAGAUGACACCAAGCCCAUCUGAAAUGUUCAUUCCGGCAAAUGUGGUUCUGAAAUGGUAUGAAAACUUUCA